GGGCGACGGUUGUCCCGGUUUAAGCGUGUAGGCUGGUUUUCCAGGCAAAUCCGGAAAAUCAAGGCUGAGGCGUGAUGACGAGGCACUACGGUGCUGAAGCAACAAAUGCCCUGCUUCCAGGAAAAGCCUCUAAGCAUCAGGUAACAUCAAAUCGUACCCCAAACCGACACAGGUGGUCAGGUAGAGAAUACCAAGGCGCUUGAGAGAACUCGGGUGAAGGAACUAGGCAAAAUGGUGCCGUAACUUCGGGAGAAGGCACGCUGAUAUGUAGGUGAAGCGACUUGCUCGUGGAGCUGAAAUCAGUCGAAGAUACCAGCUGGCUGCAACUGUUUAUUAAAAACACAGCACUGUGCAAACACGAAAGUGGACGUAUACGGUGUGACGCCUGCCCGGUGCCGGAAGGUUAAUUGAUGGGGUUAGCGGUAACGCGAAGCUCUUGAUCGAAGCCCCGGUAAACGGCGGCCGUAACUAUAACGGUCCUAAGGUAGCGAAAUUCCUUGUCGGGUAAGUUCCGACCUGCACGAAUGGCGUAAUGAUGGCCAGGCUGUCUCCACCCGAGACUCAGUGAAAUUGAACUCGCUGUGAAGAUGCAGUGUACCCGCGGCAAGACGGAAAGACCCCGUGAACCUUUACUAUAGCUUGACACUGAACAUUGAGCCUUGAUGUGUAGGAUAGGUGGGAGGCUUUGAAGUGUGGACGCCAGUCUGCAUGGAGCCGACCUUGAAAUACCACCCUUUAAUGUUUGAUGUUCUAACGUUGACCCGUAAUCCGGGUUGCGGACAGUGUCUGGUGGGUAGUUUGACUGGGGCGGUCUCCUCCUAAAGAGUAACGGAGGAGCACGAAGGUUGGCUAAUCCUGGUCGGACAUCAGGAGGUUAGUGCAAUGGCAUAAGCCAGCUUGACUGCGAGCGUGACGGCGCGAGCAGGUGCGAAAGCAGGUCAUAGUGAUCCGGUGGUUCUGAAUGGAAGGGCCAUCGCUCAACGGAUAAAAGGUACUCCGGGGAUAACAGGCUGAUACCGCCCAAGAGUUCAUAUCGACGGCGGUGUUUGGCACCUCGAUGUCGGCUCAUCACAUCCUGGGGCUGAAGUAGGUCCCAAGGGUAUGGCUGUUCGCCAUUUAAAGUGGUACGCGAGCUGGGUUUAGAACGUCGUGAGACAGUUCGGUCCCUAUCUGCCGUGGGCGCUGGAGAACUGAGGGGGGCUGCUCCUAGUACGAGAGGACCGGAGUGGACGCAUCACUGGUGUUCGGGUUGUCAUGCCAAUGGCACUGCCCGGUAGCUAAAUGCGGAAGAGAUAAGUGCUGAAAGCAUCUAAGCACGAAACUUGCC
rnacentral:rRNA from 1 species